rnacentral:rRNA from 1 species
AUGCAUGUAUAAGUAUAAACGACUUGAUCGUGAAACCGCGAACGGCUCAUUAUAACAGCUAUAAUUUACUUGACCUUGACAAUUUACUUGGAUAACUGUGGUAAUUCUAGAGCUAAUACAUGCACCAAAGCUCCGACUUCGGGAAGAGCGCAUUUAUUAGAACAAAACCAGGCGGCUUCGGCCGUACUCUGUUGACUCAGAAUAACUAAGCUGAUCGCAUGGUCUUGAACCGGCGACGUGUCUUUCAAGUAUCUGCCUUAUCAACUUUCGAUGGUAGUGUAUCUGACUACCAUGGUGGUGACGGGUAACGGAGGAUAAGGGUUCGACUCCGGAGAAGGGGCCUGAGAAAUGGCCACUACGUCUAAGGAUGGCAGCAGGCGCGCAAAUUACCCACUCUCAGAACGAGGAGGUAGUGACGAGAAAUAACGAGAUCGUUCUCUUUCGAGGCCGAUCAUCGGAAUGGGUACCAUUUAAACCCCUUUAACGAGUAUCUACGAGAGGGGCAGUCUGGUGCCAGCAGCCGCGGUAAUCCAGCCCUCGAAAUGCAUAGAAUCAUGGCUGCGGUUAAAAAGCUCGUAGUUGGAUCUGUGCUGGCCGGUCGGUCCACCUUCGGGUGUGUACUGAUUUGGUCGGCUUUCUAGUUGGAUUUUCUCCUAGUGGGCUUCACUGUUCGCUUGGAGUGUCUAACGAGUUUACUUUGAACAAAUCAGAGUGCUUCAAACAGGCGUUUCGCUUGAAUGUUCGUGCAUGGAAUAAUAGAAGAGGAUUUCGGUUCUAUUUUAUUGGUUUUAUAGACUGAGAUAAUGGUUAACAGAGACAAACGGGGGCAUUCGUAUUGCUGCGUGAGAGGUGAAAUUCUUGGACCGUAGCAAGACGAACUACAGCGAAAGCAUUUGCCAAGAAUGUCUUCAUUAAUCAAGAACGAAAGUCAGAGGUUCGAAGGCGAUCAGAUACCGCCCUAGUUCUGACCGUAAACGAUGCCAACUAGCGAUCCGCCGGUGGUUUUUUUGCCCUGGUGGGGAGCUUCCCGGAAACGAAAGUCUUCCGGUUCCGGGGGAAGUAUGGUUGCAAAGCUGAAACUUAAAGGAAUUGACGGAAGGGCACCACCAGGAGUGGAGCCUGCGGCUUAAUUUGACCCCACACGGGGAAACUCCCCCGGCCCGGACACCCGUAAGGAUUGACAGAUUGAUAGCUUUUUCAUGAUUCGGUGGAUGGUGGUGCAUGGCCGUUCUCUAGGUUCGUGGAGCGAGUUUGUCUGGUUUAUUCCGAUAACGAGCGAGACUCUAGCCUACUAACUAGUCCACACAUUGUCACUGUGUGCGCGACUUCUUAGAGGGAUUUUCGGUGUACAGCCGCACGAAAUUGAGCAAUAACAGGUCUGUGAUGCCCUUAGAUGUCCGGGGCUGCACGCGCGCUACACUGGCAAAAUCAGCGUGCUUGUCCUUCCCCAAAAGGGGCGGGUAAACCCUUGAAAAUUUGCCGUGAUUGGGAUCGGAAAUUGCAAUUAUUUUCCGUGAACGAGGAAUUCCAAGUAAGUGCGAGUCAUCAACUCGCGUUGAUUACGUCCCUGCCCUUUGUACACACCGCCCGUCGCUGCCCGGGACUGAGCCAUUUCGAGAAACUUGGGGAUUGUUGGUUUAGCGGUUUUCGGAUCGCUUCAUCGAUGAGAACCAAUUUAAUCGCAGUGGCUUGAACCGGGCAAAAGUCGUAACAAGGUGGCUGUAG